rnacentral:misc_RNA from 1 species
GAGUUAGGGUCUCCGGGCCCGAACCUCCAACCCUCUGUCGUUAUAUAAAAACCCUUGUUGCUUCGGCGGGACUCGGGGGCAGGCCCUCACGGGCCGCGCCGCCGCGCCGGGUCUCAGGACCCGGAUCGCUCCCGCCGGAGUCAAACCAAACUCUUGUUUUAACAGUAUCGUCUGAGUAAAUUGAUAAAUCAAUCAAAACUUUCAACAACGGAUCUCUUGGUUCU